UACGUAGGGGGCAAGCGUUAAUCGGAAUUACUGGGCGUAAAGCGUGCGUAGACGGUUAUGUAAGUCAGAUGUGAAAGCCCCGGGCUCAACCUGGGAAUUGCAUUUGAGACUGUGUAGCUAGGGUGCGGAAGAGGGAAGCGGAAUUUCCGGUGUAGCGGUGAAAUGCGUAGAUAUCGGAAGGAACACCAGUGGCGAAAGCGGCUUCCUGGUCCAGCACCGACGUUCAGGCACGAAAGCGUGGGGAGCAAACAGG
rnacentral:rRNA from 1 species